rnacentral:rRNA from 1 species
AAGAGUUUGAUCAUGGCUCAGAUUGAACGCUGGCGGCAGGCCUAACACAUGCAAGUCGAACGGUAACAGAAAGCAGCUUGCUGCUUUGCUGACGAGUGGCGGACGGGUGAGUAAUGUCUGGGAAACUGCCUGAUGGAGGGGGAUAACUACUGGAAACGGUAGCUAAUACCGCAUAACGUCGCAAGACCAAAGAGGGGGACCUUCGGGCCUCUUGCCAUCGGAUGUGCCCAGAUGGGAUUAGCUAGUAGGUGGGGUAACGGCUCACCUAGGCGACGAUCCCUAGCUGGUCUGAGAGGAUGACCAGCCACACUGGAACUGAGACACGGUCCAGACUCCUACGGGAGGCAGCAGUGGGGAAUAUUGCACAAUGGGCGCAAGCCUGAUGCAGCCAUGCCGCGUGUAUGAAGAAGGCCUUCGGGUUGUAAAGUACUUUCAGCGGGGAGGAAGGGAGUAAAGUUAAUACCUUUGCUCAUUGACGUUACCCGCAGAAGAAGCACCGGCUAACUCCGUGCCAGCAGCCGCGGUAAUACGGAGGGUGCAAGCGUUAAUCGGAAUUACUGGGCGUAAAGCGCACGCAGGCGGUUUGUUAAGUCAGAUGUGAAAUCCCCGGGCUCAACCUGGGAACUGCAUCUGAUACUGGCAAGCUUGAGUCUCGUAGAGGGGGGUAGAAUUCCAGGUGUAGCGGUGAAAUGCGUAGAGAUCUGGAGGAAUACCGGUGGCGAAGGCGGCCCCCUGGACGAAGACUGACGCUCAGGUGCGAAAGCGUGGGGAGCAAACAGGAUUAGAUACCCUGGUAGUCCACGCCGUAAACGAUGUCGACUUGGAGGUUGUGCCCUUGAGGCGUGGCUUCCGGAGCUAACGCGUUAAGUCGACCGCCUGGGGAGUACGGCCGCAAGGUUAAAACUCAAAUGAAUUGACGGGGGCCCGCACAAGCGGUGGAGCAUGUGGUUUAAUUCGAUGCAACGCGAAGAACCUUACCUGGUCUUGACAUCCACGGAAGUUUUCAGAGAUGAGAAUGUGCCUUCGGGAACCGUGAGACAGGUGCUGCAUGGCUGUCGUCAGCUCGUGUUGUGAAAUGUUGGGUUAAGUCCCGCAACGAGCGCAACCCUUAUCCUUUGUUGCCAGCGGUCCGGCCGGGAACUCAAAGGAGACUGCCAGUGAUAAACUGGAGGAAGGUGGGGAUGACGUCAAGUCAUCAUGGCCCUUACGACCAGGGCUACACACGUGCUACAAUGGCGCAUACAAAGAGAAGCGACCUCGCGAGAGCAAGCGGACCUCAUAAAGUGCGUCGUAGUCCGGAUUGGAGUCUGCAACUCGACUCCAUGAAGUCGGAAUCGCUAGUAAUCGUGGAUCAGAAUGCCACGGUGAAUACGUUCCCGGGCCUUGUACACACCGCCCGUCACACCAUGGGAGUGGGUUGCAAAAGAAGUAGGUAGCUUAACCUUCGGGAGGGCGCUUACCACUUUGUGAUUCAUGACUGGGGUGAAGUCGUAACAAGGUAACCGUAGGGGAACCUGCGGUUGGAUCACCUCCUUACCUUAAAGAAGC